AAAUGAGAGUUUGAUCCUGGCUCAGGAUGAACGCUGGCGGUAUGCAUAACACAUGCAAGUCGAACGAAGCCCUUCGGGGUUUAGUGGCGAACGGGUGAGUAACGCGUGAGAAUCUGCCAAGAGGUUUGGGACAACAGCUGGAAACGGCUGCUAAUACCAAAUAUGCACAACUGUGAAAGGGGUUUACCCCGCCUCGUGAUGAGCUCGCGUCUGAUUAGCUAGUUGGUGGUGUAAGGGACUACCAAGGCGACGAUCAGUAGCUGGUCUGAGAGGACGAUCAGCCACACUGGGACUGAGACACGGCCCAGACUCCUACGGGAGGCAGCAGUGGGGA
rnacentral:rRNA from 1 species